CCACAACAAAAUUACAUAUCCGCAUCAACAAAUAAAAUACUUAAAACUCAAUUACAAACCCUCGAAAAUCGGCGUAUAACCUCGGCAUAUAAUCUCAUUAAGAAAAGCAUUUGAUCCCAAAACACAUGAGAUAUCUGCAUAAUUACAAUAGCUCCAUACAAAAAAAAAAACAAUCCAUUGGGGGAAAAAAUCCCAGCAAAAAUAUAUCACUGCAGCCUUAGCAUGGAGUAUCAUUUGAAUCCCAACAUCAGCAUGAUCAAAUAGAUGAAAUAUUCCAUUCCAAACGAAAACCAUAUUCUUAGAAAAGCUGAGAAUUAAAAAAAGCAUAAAAAACUGACCUGAG
rnacentral:lncRNA from 1 species